AGCCAAGUAACAUCUGCCAAAAUAAUUCAAACGAGAAAAAGAACAGGAAUUUUCACACUUACCUGAGGACUGGGAGCUGCUGUGAUAACCCACACUGUACCUAAAAGUAAGGCUCAGCAUUGCAACGCUGAAGUCCCUUUGUGGAUUCCACCCUAAGAAUUUAUGUUGAGGCUUCGAUGAUCCGUUCUCACAGUGCCCUGUGCUGCUGGAAGAAUCGCUUCCUUAGUACUACUGAACACUGUAUUCCUAAGACACCGUAUCAACAAAACUCUCCACAAAAGAGACUUAAGACAUCACAUAGAGAGAGGCACUAAUUACAGGAGCACUAUGCGUAAACUAGCGACAAUUUCCCAGACGGAGGACACCGUUUAUUUUGAACACCAGUGGCAGUCUCUGGGAUUGUGAUAACCUAGCUUCACCACUCACCUGUGCAAUUCUUCUCUCUGCCACCUGGGAGCAUAACUGCCACAGAGCAGACAAUGGACUGGUUCCUUCUCUCCUGUCUUUAGCACAUGCUUACAUUCUUUUUCCUUUUGGCCCAGACUACACCUCAUGUCAAGGGACAAAAAUUACCUACGUUCCACACAACCUGGGUGUUUCCUCACGCUAACUGUUCAAAACGAUUUAUGUCAGAAGUAAAGGAUCAUGAAACUAAGACUAUGGAAAGAGUUGUGUCUGCUAGUAAAAGAAUGAAUCACACAACAUUUCAAGUGUCCUGCAUGAAUCGUUAUUUUUGCCCCUCAUUUGGGCCUUGGCAGCUCUGUGAAAUAUGAAUGUGAACAAGACCAAGUCCAGCCUGUGCAGUAAUGCCUCUUUGCAAUACUGUUUUCUGAUGCGAAACAUCAAGCAAACCAAUGUACCAGUGUAUUUGUUUUCUGCUGUUAAAAGUUUUUCUUAUGUUUUUAAUAUAUCUAUUUGGAAAGAUCUGUACUGCAUCCACCCCAUUAAUAUGAAAUUGCAUUCCCUUAAAUUGAUCUAUUCUUAUUGUUGAUUACUCUGGACUAAAAAUAUAAACCUACUAUAUAAAGUCGAAAGGCCAAGUACCACUAAGUUUUAA